GAGCGCGGUGGCCGCGCCUGUCAGGCCGCGUUAGUCACGGGGCGGCCGCUGCCGCCGAGGGGAGGUGAGCGGGAGCGGCCCGCCGCACCUGCGCGUCCUGCCGAAACGUCCCUCCCCGCGCUAUGGCAUAAACUUACUGGGACAGAAAGGAAUGUGAAGAGUUCAUCUGGUCCAUCCUGUGACUUUACUGCCACAAAGCAGGAUCCAAUCUCCUCAUCUCUUUCCUGCACCGCAGCUAUGGAGUUUCACAAGGUGUACAAAGAUUGCUGUUAAGGCUGAGUAAACUGAGGCAUGGAGAAACUAGGAGGCACGUGAGUAACUGAAGUUCAGACAAGGCAGAACUGGAAAUCCCUUCCCAGUCCUGACACUGCUUCUUCCUGGCCAGUCUUCAGAAAUCAUUCCUGCUUCAGACUAGUGAUAUGUGAUACUGUACUUUUUUUCCUGUUAAGAACACAUUUUGCAGAAGGGUCUAUAAGCCUGUGUAGGAUUCAGCUGAAUUCAGGCUGCAAGAUGGGGUCAGUUGCAGUCCUCUGCUUUAAAAUAUCAUUGAUAAAAAUCUAUUUUAAAUGUUUUGGUCAGGACUAGUGAAGCUUUUCAAUUUUUAAAUGUGUUUUGUGUGGAAAAUCCCUCUGUUAAAUAAUUAGCAAGUGCUCUAAGCAUUACUGCUUAUUUUAUAUUUCAUCUGCCUGGAAGAAAUGGACAGUUCUGUUGCUACUGAUUAACCACAAUUUACUUUGUGAUAUUUGUGACUGCUGGAAGACAGACUUCAUAGUGUAUUUCUUUUACAUCUGAUUAUUCAAGGAAUGGGGCUGGACAGAAGAAGGGUUUAACCACAACUUUUCUUCUAUUCCCAGUCCCAGCAGACAUUUGAGUUUACACAGAAAAAAUCUGCACAGGCUGAAAAUGUGAAAACCAGAGAGUGAGUGGUUCAACAGGCAAAAGGAUUGCAGUGCUGGAUCUUAUUUUCUUGGCCGACAUUUGCUCUGUUGGUUUGUUUAUUUUACCUUUGACAUAGCCUUAUUCCACAUUUCAGUGUAAAUUUUUCUCAGGCGGCAAAAAAAAUCAUUGCUGCAGCUGCGGUUGCAUGAAUUAGUCUUGAGUACCAAUGGACACUAAUUGUGUUUAAAAUGAAGAAUUUGGCACAAAAACCUGUUCAGAUUUAACCUUUUCCUCACAGAAAUGGAGAUAUUAAUGAUUCUUUUUAUGGAAUGAAGAGUAAGAUCACUUUUUAAUUAAUUUUGAUGAUCAGGUCUUUGUUCCUGAGGCUCUUUGAACAGUAGGUUGUGUCAGAAGCGUGUCCCUGGCUCUGCUGUGGGCAAUUCUGUACACCUUGGUGCUGUUAGUAGGCUAUACCAGCAGGCCUUGGAAAGCAACACAGAAUAGUAACUGUCACAUCUGUUUUCCUCGAAAGUUGUUUUGUCCUGUCUUUGAGACGAACUUUGAAUUCUGAGAUGUUUUUUAAGUUGUAGCACUGCAGUUGGCAGCACCACUCCUGAAGGAAUAGAAUGCUUCAAUCUUCAUGUGUGUUGGACCUAAUAGCCCUCCUGGCAGUCAGCGGGAGGCUGUAGUAUGCCAAAAAAUGCAGACGUGGGCUCCUCAGCCUGAAGAAAUUGCCCUAGAUUAGAGAGUACAGACAAAUGUUGAUUAAUCAAAUGUGCCUACAACAAACAAAUUCUCUUAGAGUAUACGCUAACUUCCAAGUUCUCUCCUCUGGUGUAGCACCAGUAGCUCAGAGCUCUAAGCAGUCCUCUGCUUAAUUUCACAGCUGUUGCUUAGGUAGCUGAUCCAGUUUGUUUUCUAAGCCUUGUUAUACAGAAGGCCAUUACCUGUGCACACUAUCUCUGCAUGCACUGGAGCUCAGUUGUAUAUUUUGCCCACAUCAGCUUCUUCCACAGUGUUGCCUGGUUAGCACUUGCAACAAGCAUCUUGUGAAGCCUCUAGAAAAGUCUCUUCCAGCUGGCAGACUGGCCAGAGACAAACAUGUAGGAUGCUGGUGACCGUCUGGGAUUAUAAAGAGGAUGGUUGCAAGAGUACUCAGUGGUCUGUUAAGCGCCAGAUCCCUACUCAGGCCAACAAGGAUUGCAGGGAAAAGAUCAAGGACUUGAAUAAAAUUAAUUCUCCAUUCUGGCAAUCAAACUGGGGAAAUGCGUGUUUUCUUGCAGCCCUGCUGAGGCUUGCAAAAGCUCUUCCAUCUUCAAAACAUUGCUGAGAAUGAUGCCAAUGAAAAUAACCUGCAGAAACAUUUUUAACAUUUAUGCCACUUGUUUGGAAUUUGAGUAUGGUGAACUCUUGUGUGUUGAAGUGCAGGGAGCAGAAUAGAACAGACCAAUCUGUCUAUGAAGAUUGGAGGGGCUAUUUACCAUCACUGAGAUUUAGAGGAUUUUUUAAUGUUAUUGAUCAGUAUGUCUCAAAUGGUGUUGAACUGUAGCUUUCCUGUUGCGAUAAAGCUGUAUGACUAGUAUUUUGAUAUUUUGUUUGUUAGAAGCUUGGGACCACAUAUCAAAAGGCAGGGAACACAAAAGAGGCCAUAAGAAUGUGUUCAAAAUAGCACAAGGAGGGAUUUUAUGUAGUAUUUCCUAGGUACAGUGUAAAAUUUUACUCUGUUCUUUCAUGAAACCUAUCUAUACAUGAGUAACAAAGUCUGGUUUUUUUAAGUAUUGGCCUGUUUGGGCAACUACUCUUAGAUUUGGGACAAAGUAUAGUGUAAUGUGAUAUCAUGUCAGUAGGUAAUACUGAUCUUUGCAUAAUUUUCCAUAAAGGGCAGGGAACUUGAGAGGAAUGUCCUUUUACAACCCCAUAUAAUGACAGGGGAAGCUUGUCAGCUGAAUUUUCCAGUAUGUGGAUUAUUUUUGUUUUUAAAAGUUAGCUCUCGUAUUUCAGCAUUGUCUUCCUUCUCCCCACAAUCCCAAAGAACAGUCUAUUCAAUAGCUAGCAUAAAAUUUAAGUCCAGAGAUGACUGUUACAGCAAAUACCAGCAUGACUUUUAAUAUAAAUUCUUGCCUAAAAUAUCUGCGAUAAAGCCUAGAUCCUAUAGGUAUGCAUAUGUAUGUAUUGGUACUAGAGUAUGAUCUAGGUGGGGUUUAAGCACCAUGUUCCAAAAAAGCAAAUCCACAUAAACCACUCAUCACUUCUUCAUCAUCUGAGCAUAUGCAGACACCUACCAUCUUUGCGACACUGUUUUAAUCCUAUGUGGAGUGGCUUCAUGAAGACAGCUGCAUCUUUAGCAUACGUGGAGCUUACUGAGUUCAGCACAGAGAUAUCUCCAGUCAAGAAUGCAAACCAGCAGAGAUGGUUAUUGUCCACCUCUUGCCUAAUGGCCAGCCAUUAGAGGACUUGCUGAGGAAAUCAGACUUUUAGCAGCCUCAGACAACAAUUCCCACUUACUAGAUGAGAG